CCAAAAUAAAUCAUUUGUAUUUUAAUUUUACCGGAUUACAACUUUUAAAGAUUACAUACGCAAAUAUAACUUUAAUAUUAUUAUAGAAACCGACAAUAACUACAAAUUAGGUAUAGAUGUAAACCGCUAGAGGAGUAUAACGGUUUAUAUUCAAACACGUUAAGGAAAAAAUCACAACAUUCCUCCAGCGGUUUCUUCACAAAAUUCAAUUAUGCAUAAACCGUGAUAGGAAAAUAGCAGUUUAUGCGUGCUUGAGUAUAAAUACGCCGGAGGAAGUCGCGAAUUAUUCAUCAGUUUGUAUCAUUUAGCAAAAGUUUAGAGAGAAGUUAAACUUUGUUUUAGAGAGAAAGAGAAAAAAAAUUGUGGAUUGAGAGGGAAAGGUUCUUAAGGUUAUUGGACAUUUGGAAUUAUUUAAGCGCAGGAUCAUGGCGGACGAAUACACCUUGUACUGACUUAAUGGCGCUGCGCAUGUUGCCUGAAGCAUUAACGAAGAGGUGAGCCACUUAUUUAUUGACAUCCGACCACAAGGAGGAAAGAAUUAUCCAGUGUCGCCUUGCAUUAGACCGCUUGGUGGUCAAGAUGUAAGUUGUUUGUAUUUGUUUCCAAGUUUUAUUACUCAUUCGCCAACAUGUUUAAUAUAUACUGUACUAAUGGAAGAUUUUAUAAUCAUUUGCAAAUUGUGUGGGAGCCUUAUGCUGUGCUGGACGUGCUUGUCGUUGUUAAUCCAAAGAUUCAGUUGAGAAGCACAAUCGGUUAUGACGGGGUUGACUAGCCUGAUAUAUUUUACCGUGAUUGAAUAGCACCAAGUGAACAGGGUAUUCCCAUAGCUUGUUGGCCUUCAACAUAUGCCUGAACCAGCCUUAAACAUAAACUGGUUUCAUGACAAGGAUGGUAAGGAUGAAAAUAGGUGGUUUUCGAGUUAUUUUCAGGUGAAAUUCGGACGAAUUUGGCAGAGUCUUGUGCAAAGAUAAAGAAAGGAUAGCAGAUGCUGUCAAUCCUGACCUCCUUGCAUUCCAACGAGCAUAACUUGAGUUACAGAGGUACAAUUGACGCGGUCUCAACGGCAUUAGAAAGCUAAUUUUCAGAGCUUUCCAACAAUAUAUAAUAGUAUAUACUUCUCUUUUGGAAUCACUGCCAAAUCAUACGCUAAACUCCAAGACUGACAUUUAGCGCCCAAGAAGGAGCCACUUCCUGCGCUGAACGCCCAAAACUGGCGUUCAACGCCAACCAGGGAGCAAGGGACAGAAUGCACUCCUCCCCUAUGGGCGUUCAACGCCCAGAUUGGCGUUGAACGCCAGGAAGAACCGAAGCAAUCACCAAAGUGGUUAAAGUUAUGAGCAACUAAACCUCUUGGUUAAAGUUAGGAACUCUGUUUAUUUCUAUAGAUUAAAGUUAUUAUUUUUCUAUUUUAAUUAAUGUUUGAUUCAAUUCUAAGGUGUUGUUUUCGUUCUUAAUCUUAUGCAUCUGGGGUGGAACGAGAGUAUGACCCUUUAUUCUACAUGAGUUCUUGUGAUUCUCGAGAGAGCUAUCUCGAUUGGACUACAGCUUGAAAACACUCCUCCUAAACUGCAAUUUACUUGGGCUAAUUAGAUAUGUGACAUAAAAUCCGGUUAGCUUUAGCUAAUUGAGGUUUUUGUGGCGCUAAACUAAUUUUUUGAACUUCACCCUCCGAUCUGAAUUGAAUGACCACGAGAGUGGCUUUUGAUGAAGGUUAUAGGAGAUUAAAUCGCUAAGAGAUUAUGU